rnacentral:rRNA from 1 species
GACGAACGUUGGCGGCGUGCUUAAUACAUGCAAGUCAACUGAAGCAGUGGUAGCAAUAUCGCUGUGGAGGUGGCGCACGGGUGAGUAACACGUAGGUAAUCUGCCUUCAGGUCUGGCAUAACUCCGGGAAACCGGGGCUAAUAGCAGAUGAUGCAGCGGCUCGACAUCGAGACAGUUGUUAAAGCUAUGGCGCCUGAAGAUGGGCCUGCGUCUGAUUAGCUAGUUGGCGGGGUAACGGCCCACCAAGGCAACGAUCAGUAGCUGGUCUGAGAGGAUGAUCAGCCACACUGGAACUGAGACACGGUCCAGACUCCUACGGGAGGCAGCAGUAAGGAAUAUUGCUCAAUGGGAGAAAUCCUGAAGCAGCAACGCCGCGUGAGGGACGAAGGGCUUUUGCUUGCAAACCUCUGUAGUGAGAGAAAAAAAUCCCAAUCUUUGGGACAUGAUGGUAUCUCAAAAGUAAGCCCCGGCUAACUACGUG